rnacentral:rRNA from 1 species
GACGAACGCUGGCGGCGUGCUUAACACAUGCAAGUCGUGCGGAAAGGCCCCUUUGGGGGUGCUCGAGCGGCGAACGGGUGAGUAACACGUGAGUAAUCUGCCCUGCACUUUGGGAUAACUGCCGGAAACGGUGGCUAAUACUGGAUAGGACUGCAUCCUGCAUGGGGUGUGGUGGAAAGCCUUUGGGUGGUGUGGGAUGUGCUCGCGGCCUAUCAGCUUGAUGGUGGGGUAGUGGCCUACCAUGGCUUUGACGGGUAGCCGGCCUGAGAGGGUGACCGGUCACACUGGGACUGAGACACGGCCCAGACUCCUGCGGGAGGCAGCAGUGGGGAAUAUUGGACAAUGGGCGGAAGCCUGAUCCAGCAACGCCGCGUGAGGGAUGACGGCCUCGGUUGUAACUCUUCGCUCAUGACGAAG